GGUGGUCCCACCUGACCCCAUGCCGAACUCAGAAGUGAAACGCCGUAGCGCCGAUGGUAGUGUGGGGUCUCCCCAUGCGAGAGUAGGGAACUGCCAGGC
rnacentral:rRNA from 39 species